rnacentral:rRNA from 1 species
GGCGUGCCUAAUACAUGCAAGUCGAGCGAGCGGAACUAACAGAUUUACUUCGGUAAUGACGUUAGGAAAGCGAGCGGCGGAUGGGUGAGUAACACGUGGGGAACCUGCCCCAUAGUCUGGGAUACCACUUGGAAACAGGUGCUAAUACCGGAUAAGAAAGCAGAUCGCAUGAUCAGCUUUUAAAAGGCGGCGUAAGCUGUCGCUAUGGGAUGGCCCCGCGGUGCAUUAGCUAGUUGGUAAGGUAAAGGCUUACCAAGGCGAUGAUGCAUAGCCGAGUUGAGAGACUGAUCGGCCACAUUGGGACUGAGACACGGCCCAAACUCCUACGGGAGGCAGCAGUAGGGAAUCUUCCACAAUGGACGCAAGUCUGAUGGAGCAACACCGCGUGAGUGAAGAAGGUUUUCGGAUCGUAAAGCUCUGUUGUUGGUGAAGAAGGAUAGAGGUAGUAACUGGCCUUUAUUUGACGGUAAUCAACCAGAAAGUCACGGCUAACUACGUGCCAGCAGCCGCGGUAAUACGUAGGUGGCAAGCGUUGUCCGGAUUUAUUGGGCGUAAAGCGAGCGCAGGCGGAAGAAUAAGUCUGAUGUGAAAGCCCUCGGCUUAACCGAGGAACUGCAUCGGAAACUGUUUUUCUUGAGUGCAGAAGAGGAGAGUGGAACUCCACGUGUAGCGGUGGAAUGCGUAGAUAUAUGGAAGACACCAGUGGCGAAGCGGCUCUCUGGUCUGCAACUGACGCUGAG